UGUACUACUUCACAAGCGUGUUUUCGCUCAGUUCUACCGGAAGUUCUCGAAAUGAAGGUGUAUCCAAUCUUCUUAUUGCUUGUUAGCUGUUGACGCGGGAAUAUUUUCACUGAAAAGACUCUGGAAAGAUUUCCAUAUAACCCAUAGUAUACUGAAUGGAGGCGCCAGUCCCAGAGAUGUGUGCUGUUUGGCAGAAAGAGAAGUGAACGAAUGGCGCCAUCAAUGAAGUAAAACACCUGUUGUAA